UGACCAUAUAUGAAGAAAGCGUAAUCAAAUAACGUGCGAUGGGUUCCGAAUGGAGAAACAAGAAAAAAACAUCGUUGGAAUAAUCUCUCCUUUUGAUUGCACACGAGCUUUCAAACGGUUGAGAUCCGGUGCCCAAGACAGGAGAAAAGUGAACCGUAUUGCUGGGGACUCCAAUGCUCAUCGGAUUAAGGAUAUUCUUCCUGAUGAUAUAGCUGUCAAAUGCCUGCCAAUCUCUGAUGAGAAUAUGUAAUGACAAUGACAUUCGCCAACUCUGUUUUCAAAGGUGCCAAAUUUUCUUGUGAUCGUUUUUCCAUGCAUUGUUGAGAGACUUGCGAAAGAUGGAUGUUCAACAGCUGUAUCUUCAUCUAGGCUCAAAUGACAUUCUUACGAAUGAAGCGGUGUUUUACCGAGAUGUAGCUGACUUGUGCGAUUUGGUGCAUCAGGAGGCGCACAAUCGGUGUCCAGAAUGCAGGGUUGUUUGCUCCAACGAAGACGCUUUGCUGAGCCACUUCUGCAGUCGCCACAUCAAGCAACCAGAGACUGGAAAAGAGAGUAAAAUUAAGCUGAUAGGCUCACCAAUGAGGCUCACCAAUGAUUGCAUCUGCUAAUCAUGAACUCAACGAAGUCAGCUCAAGGAAGUGGAAGGCAUGCUUGGAAAAUAGAAGUUUCCAUUAUGAAG